GGGCUCUCCGGCCCUGCGCGUGCUGCAUAUCACAUGCGCUAAAUAUUUUAUCAAGUUACGACUAAUCGGCUUGUAUUUUGUCGUAAUUAUUCUCAUCGUAAAUAGAGAUGAAUUUUCCCCACGCACAUCUCAAAUGUGAAAAGUCGAACCCGCCGGAAUUACGUCGGGAGGCGGGGUUUCGAUCUUUCCUAAGAAAUCAUUAAUUUGAUGGCGUAAUACGCUGCCGCGCGUUAUCUUGUAGCGCACACUUCAUUAAAACACUAUUCGCCGUUUACGAACGAUAUACUUUAUCACGGACGCGCCGUGAGGUUUUAUCUCUGUUAAAUAUUAACCAUACCGAUAAAGUACACUGUCUUACGUGAGCCUAACGUGUUCAUCUUGUGGCGAAUGUGGUUUUCAUCAAGGCCAGCUCGCAGAUUCAGCUCACUCAUCAGUAUCUCGCAUAAUACUGAUAUCUCCUUUUUAUUUAUCAAUGAAGUUAGCAUACACACAUUUCACGGAUAUGUAUCUUUAGUUUUUGAAUUAUCUUAUUUUUAUCAAAAUGACAUAAUUCAAAAACUUUGAUUGUUAUAAAGCUGCAACUCGGCGAUUCGCUCUGCCGAAUGCGUCCAUUGUCCUAUCACCUAUCGUGAUUAUCGUGACUAUAAAUAUUACAAAUGACGUGAUAAAAUACUAAUCGUGCAAUUAAAAUUAAAUAUAACACGACUAACAAUACACUUGUUCACAGGACCAAAUAUUUUGCACUAUGGAUACAUUUUAUUAAAUACUCUUAUAUUAUUUAUUUAUAACUCGUUUUUCUUACGUUCUCUGUCGUUAUUUCAAGUACAUAAAUAGUUUAAUCGAGCUGCAAUAGCCGCAUAAAAUAUACCUUUAACCAUAGCUCGUUCUAUCGGCUUGCAUCGCCAACAGACUAUGGUGCGACGAAGCGUAAGAGAAGUGAAAUGGAGUUUUAUGUGAUGCAAAACCAAAUUGAAAGCCGAUCAUAAACUGUAACUCCAAAUCGGAUAUAGAUAGAAAUCAGGAGAGGAUUCGUCAGGUGCCUGAUAGAUGGAGAAAAAUUUAUGGGAAAAUAAUAGUGACUUUGAACUUUGAAGAUUGAUACAAUUUAUUUAUUUUGUAAUACACAAGAAUAAUCGAAUAGACAACAACCAAAUCUUUGGUGAAACGAGUAAACUGUAUUUACUAAAAGACACGUUUACAAAUUCGGUUUACAAAUUUUAUACUGAGUUUUUUAUUUUGACACUGGUUACAGGGAAUGUUUAUCCAAUACACAUGUGCGGAAAGAGUGUCGUAUUGCAGUUUCUCCAUUUCAUAUACUUGACUCGAUUCCACGUAAAUGAAUAGUAGAUUUAUCAACUAAUGGAGUUCGUUGUAUAACUGACAAUAUACAACAAAUUUUGUACAUAUAUCGGAAUAGAUUUAUACCGCUCCUCUUGGAUUUUCUUCGCAAUGGCUGUGAUAACAAAUCUUCCCGAAGAAGUGAUAGAGAUUAUUCUGUGUUCUAACAAUAUCAGCACCCAAGAUUUCGUAAACUUUUCCUCCACGUGCAAGCAUUUUCAUCAGAUGAUCAAAAACGACACAUUUUCGCGAC